GACGAACGCUGGCGGCGUGCUUAACACAUGCAAGUCGAACGGAAAGGCCCUGCUUUUGUGGGGUGCUCGAGUGGCGAACGGGUGAGUAACACGUGAGUAACCUGCCCUUGACUUUGGGAUAACUUCAGGAAACUGGGGCUAAUACCGGAUAGGAGCUCCUGCUGCAUGGUGGGGGUAGGAAAGUUUCGGCGGUUGGGGAUGGACUCGCGGCUUAUCAGCUUGUUGGUGGGGUAGUGGCUUACCAAGGCUUUGACGGGUAGCCGGCCUGAGAGGGUGACCGGCCACAUUGGGACUGAGAUACGGCCCAGACUCCUACGGGCGGCAGCAGUGGGGAAUAUUGCACAAUGGGCGGAAGCCUGAUGCGGCAACGCCGCGUGCGGGAUGACGGCCUUCGGGUUGUAAACCGCUUUCGCCUGUGACGAAGCGUGAGUGACGGUAAUGGGUAAAGAAGCACCGGCUAACUACGUG
rnacentral:rRNA from 1 species